UUCCUACGGGGGGCAGCAGUGGGGAAUAUUGCACAAUGGGGGAAACCCUGAUGCAGCGACGCCGCGUGAGUGAAGAAGUAUUUCGGUAUGUAAAGCUCUAUCAGCAGGGAAGAUAAUGACGGUACCUGACUAAGAAGCCCCGGCUAACUACGUGCCAGCAGCCGCGGUAAUACGUAGGGGGCAAGCGUUAUCCGGAUUUACUGGGUGUAAAGGGGGCGCAGACGGCAAUGUAAGCCAGGAGUGAAAGCCCGGGGCCCAACCCCGGGACUGCUCUUGGAACUGCAUGGCUGGAGUACAGGAGGGGC
rnacentral:rRNA from 1 species